ensembl:lncRNA
GGCAGAUCUUUUGCUUCACUGAGGGACUUGUCUUCACAGUCAACCAUGGUAUGACUCCUCCAAGUGGUCCUACUGGCUCUGAGAGGUGAGCCCAGCAGUCUAGAAAGCCUGAAGACCCUUCCUAAAAAGAUGAACCCUGCGCUCUGUGCCUUUGACAUUUGGCAGCAGAGGAGCAGUCUGACAGCAUGGCAUCUGAUGUGGAAGUACAUAUGCAACAGAAGUCUGGAACUGAAUUCCUCCAUGCAGAAAAAGUUGCACCUAGUGACAUUAACUGAUGCUUGCUGAACAUUUAUGGAGACCAAACAGUGGAUGUGAGCACAGUGAGGCAAACAAUGCUGCUGAGAACAACUGAGACAAAAGGCCUGGCCUUCAAAACAUAGAGCCUGAAAGGAAAGCUUCGGGGGGUUUUUUUGGUAAGGUCCAAAUGUGUUUCAUUCAGCUUUGCUGCUACUCCCAAAGUCUGGUUAUAAACAAGUAUGAUAUUUACCCUGGAAGCUGCACAUCUGGAUUGCAGUGUCUGUAACUGCUUUCAUUGUCACAGCAGUUUUGAGCCUCAUAAUAUUCUGUGUGUGUAGAGAACAGCUUGUAAGAGGUAACCUGAGCCAGCUCUGUUUUAUGAUUGAAGAGCUUAAAUAUCUUGAACCACCAGUCCGCAAGAUAGCCACAGCCUUCAACCUUCUAUAUAUGAUUCCACAGUCCUGACAUUUUGCUUUUAAUGUCCUGUAGAAUUCUUCUAACUGCUCCCUAUCAAAUUUCCAUGCUGACUUUUUGUCCAAAGCAAUAACGUACCAGCUGCUUUCAGGGGAGAUGAGCAUGAACUUCCGAAGAGUCCACCUCUAGGUGUAAACCCUUUUGUACUGCUAGACAGCAGUAGAACCUUGACAUUCAUUUCUUUACAUUGCAAAUAUAGGGAUGUAAGCUGCCAGCAUUAUCAGUACUUAGUGCCAAGUGACAAAAUAUUGUGUCUGAAUAACACCUUUGUAAGUGACAGCUUGUUUCCUUACUGCAAGGUUAUCAUAUCCUUG